rnacentral:rRNA from 1 species
AUACGUAGGGGGUGAGCGUUGUCCGGAAUGAUUGGGCGUAAAGGGCGCGUAGGCGGCCCGGUAAGUCUGGAGUGAAAGUCCUGUUUUUAAGAUGGGAAUUGCUUUGGAUACUGUCGGGCUUGAGUGCAGGAGAGGUAAGUGGAAUUCCCAGUGUAGCGGUGAAAUGCGUAGAUAUCGGGAGGAACACCGGUGGCGAAGGCGGUUUACUGGACGACAACUGACGCUGAGACACGAAAGUGUGGGGAGCAAACAGGAUUAGAUACCCUGGUAGUCCACACCGUAAACGAUGAAUGCUAGGUGUGGGGGCGCAAGCCUCCGUGCCGCAGUUAACACAAUAAGCAUUCCACCUGGGGAGUACGGCCGCAAGGUUGAAACUCAAAUGAAUUGACGGGG